AUUCUCGCCCGUCCACUCCCAGCGUAAAGAGGAUUCCGCGACUCGGAGACCGCAAUCUACCCGCCAGUCUCCAUAACGUAGGCCAGAGCAGCUGGGCUAAAUAAAACAGAGCCGGGGCUCUCCCUUCCCGAAGGCCUACAUCGCCCACUGGUCCGGGCUCGGAGCUCAGCAGAACCAGAGUAGGAGCGGUUGUUGCCGGCACGGAGGAGGUAGGUACCACACCAGACGGUAGGCCAGGAAACCGCAGGCCCCUGCCGGGCACAGGAAGGCAUCUGUGAGAUUUCUUCUCACUGCCACACCCUAGUGUUGUGGGGCGAGCAUAAUCCCUUUUGCCUGCUGUGCGACCAGCCCCAGGCCGGCCAAGGGGGCUUGGAACCGGGACCCCCACUGCCUCCGCCUCCUUACCAGUGUGAUCCAUGAUUCGGCUCGCAGAGCACAGUGGGAGCGGAAGUCAACCGCGCCGGAGUCGCAGCGAGCGCGUGCGCACUGCCUUCCGGAGGCCGGGAGGCGGAAGUCCAAGCAGGUUGUCCCAAUUUUGGCCUGCAAAGACUUCCUUCUCUCGCCUCUACUAUCCAACUCCUGUGAGGGACUCAGGCAUAGUUCGGGCGGAGGCAGAAAGAGCGAGCGCGCGAAGAACUUCGGUAUUGAGGGAGAGCGCUUGUGACGCUACGAACCUCUCGAACACCUGACGACUGGGCGCCAGGGCCGGAUGGAGGGUGGAGAGCCAGUGCGGCGCAGCUGCCUCCUCUUAACGGGGACACCUUGCAGGAAUGUGCGGAGUGGAGCUAACGGGAGCGGAUAGAAACCGAGGGAGGGGAAGAGAGCGCGAAGGCUUGGCCGGAAGGAGAGGUUAAAAAGGAAAGGCCUAAAAUGAGGAAGAGAGUUACCACAACAAGCAGUACCUAGUUCCAGUUCUUGGUCCCAGGAGUUUGUGGUUGUUGCUGCUUUCAUCUUCCUCAGCCAACACAAAAGGAAAGUGCCAAGGGGCGAUUCCUAGGACCUUCAGUGCAGUCUCCACCUUGCGGACUUGGCUCAUUUGUGUCCACUCCUUUCUCCAGCCUUUUACACUUGAUGCUCUUGGAUGAAUAGAAAGGAGCACAAUUAAUGGAAAACACAAGCUUGGGAGUCAAGGGAUUUGGGUUCUAUUCUUGUCCUCCCUUGGUGACGACAUCAUUACCUUGGGUUAUUCAAGCUUUCAGUGCCAGAGUUCCUAUAUCAAUAAAAGAUUAUUACAUUGACCUCUUAGAGAAAUGUUUUCAUGGUACUGAAUUGCAAAUAAAGUAUGUGUAGCGAUGUGUUAUAUCUUUGUAGUUGUACGGUAUUAUUUGUGAAUCAUGCUGUGAUGAUCAGUGCGAUUUAAGUGCACCAUGUUAUUUGGUGAUUAUUUUCCUGAGAUCUUGUAAAAGAUUUUUCUGCUCUAUAUAUGCAGCUUUAUAAACAAGUUUUUAGGUACAUUCACAACUAAGGACAUUUGUGAAUCAAAAUUACCCCUGCUUUUUUUAAAUGUAAAGUUCUGUAUUGCUAGGUGGUUUUCAAGAUGCUUUCAGUUUCUGGGAUUAUUGUUUUGGGCAUUGGGGCUUGCCUAACCUUUUUCCCAUACCUCCCUAUUUUUCUAAAUACAGUGUUGAUAUAGUCAGGCAUUUUUCACCAAUUUGGGUUUUUUUUUUUUUUUUAAGUUUUCACUUAGAAAGUACUUCUUUUUCAUAUUAAAAAAAUUUUUUUUAGAGAUGGGGCAGCCCAAACUGGAACACAAUGGCAGAAUCAUAGCUCACUGCAUCCUUGGACUCCCGGGCUCAAGGGGUCCUUAUGCCUCAGCCUCCGGAGUAGUUGGGACUACAGAUGCUCAUCACCACCACUGGCUUUGAUUUUUUUGUUCUAUCAUACUUAGCCUAUCAGCUAACGGUUAACCUUCAGAUUCAUGGAAAUCCAGGUUCAGAAUAGUAUUAUUAAUGUCUGCUGAUGCUAAUAUUUAAAUAAUUAGAAUUAAAAAGAGCUUUCAAAUUGUAUUUUAUAUAAUUUAACCUGUAAGUUAGAAGUUUUGUUGGCAUUUUAUGGUGCAUCAAGAAAAUUUACUGAGAGAAGAUGUACUUACUUUAGAUCUGAUAAAAUGUUAAACAUUUGUUUGAUUUGAUUUGACAUCUCUUACUUUCAGGCAUUGCUUUAGCAUCUGUGGUCUGUAUUUACCCCCUUAAUUGUGGUUGCCUUGAAUUACCAAUGCAGUAGCAGUGUGAUAAAUUAAUUUCUUUACCUAUGUUUUAUUACUGCCCUCUAGUAUCUCUUUUCAGCGACCAGCGUGCUGUAACCAGUCACAAUUUCUUUAUCAAGAGUUGCCAUUAAUAUUUAUUUAUAGAGCAUAAGGUUUAUAUUGCUUAUAUAUAAGCUAUAUAUAGUUUAGGUGCUGACCUAAGGUUUAUAAAAGUGAAAACUUACUGUAAUGGGCAGUCUGAAGCACUGAGGUGCACCUUUUUAUCUUACUGGCAAGACCAUCUACUACCUAUGAAUUAUAAGGUAGUGGUCUCCAAGAUGUUUUGAUAGCCUCCCAUUUACAUAGUUACUGUUUAUGCUAUGAGAAAAGUAAGAGGGGUAUCAGAGAGCUUGUUUUCCCCAAUAGCCUGUUACGGACUCCUCAGUACCAAGUAAGGACAAAAACCUUCAUCUCCUAACACUCUUUCAACUGUAUCCCACUGAGUGCCUGCCUAGGACUGCAUAAGGCAAAAGCUGUAUAAAUAAUGGCCCCUACUUCAAGGAUCCUACAGGAUAUCAUUUUAAGAAAUAUGUGAAGAUCUAUAUAAUUUAGUUCUAAGUGUUGAGAGGAAAUUCAGUGCUACUUACAUUUAGAUAAAGUAGUGGGACUGAGAGUAGUUAGGUUAGCUUUAUGGAGGGAUUUAAGCUGAGCCUUAUGUGAAUGGAUAAAAUUUGGAGAGGAGGAGAGCAAUAAAAGGCAUAUCACACAGAGAAAAGCAAGGGCACAGAUGUGAGAAUUGUAUGGUUUCUAUAGAGGACAGUGAAGAGCUUUAUUUGUACUGUUGAUCCAUGUUUGGGAGUUCUAAAAAAAUAAGUUAUUAUGGAGCACCUUGAAAAAGUAAGAUUUCAGAGUAACAGUAAAGAAAUAGAGCAUUUAACAAAACCCAGCAUAAUAUAUUCAUAGAAACAAUAUAAUCCAGCAAAAUAUAUUCAAAAACAAUGAGCAAAUCUUAACUUGGGGUGGGGAGAUGAAUCAGUUGAUGAACAAUCAGUCAGAAUUAAAGUGUAAUACUAUUACACCUAGACCAAGAACAAUUGACCAGGAAGCCAGCGAUACCUAUGAUAGCCAAAAUGCCAUGAAGUAUGAAUGAAUUGUUAGUAAAAAAAAAAAAACGGAUCCAGGUAGUGUCCAGUAUAUAUUAAUACGUUUGAUAAGCAGAAAUGGAAAAGGCAGUAAAAUAUCCUGGUUAGAUAUAUGCCUUAUCAAGCUAUGGCAGCCAGCUUUUCAAACACCAUGAAAAACUGGGCAAGAGGCAGAUUCAGAGAAUAAGAGGGAAAUAGACUGUAAAAACAGAAUGUUGCUGAUUGAAGGCAUUGUCCCGUUCCUGUCUCGAAGGAGAUUCAUUCUCGUUGAGGCCUGGCAAUAUAUGUACUCAUUUGAAAAGGAACCUUUUGAUCUAGAGAGGUCCUGCAGCCUUCCUUCUUUUCUGAGAAGGAAAAUUUUGUUGUGGAUAUCCUUUGAGCUGGAUAGACCUGUCCCUCCCUACAGCUUCUUUGCUAAUAUAAUUGCCUCCAGUUCACUCCUAAAAGAAUGCUUAGGGUAUUAAACUGCUCUGUAGUAAGCAAUUAGUCUGUAUAUUGUUUCCUAAACUUAAGAAGGCUUUUGUUCAAGGGCCCCUGACCCUAACCUCAGCUGCCACUCCAUGCCAGUUGAAAAAGGCUUUCAGCCUUCCUUGGUGCUAUGGUUUGAAUGAAGGUAUUCCUCCAAAAUUCAUAUGUUGGAACUUAAACCCCAAGGUGGUGAUAUUAAGAGGUGGGGCCUUUUGGGAAGUGAUUUAGCUGUGAGGGCUUUGCUGUCAUGAAUGGUAUUGCCGUUAGAGUCCUCAGAGAGCUGCCUGUGAGCCAUGUGAGGACAGAGCAUUCAUCCCUUCCAGUAUAUAAGCAACAGGGUGCUCAUCUCGGAAGCAGAGAACCCUCACAAGACACUAAAUCUGCUGACACCUUGAUCAUGGACUUCCCAGCCUCCAGAACUGUAAG
rnacentral:lncRNA from 1 species